UGAUAAUGAUAUAAUUCCUUUAGAAUAAAAAAACAAACGUUUAAAGGCGUUAAUUAAAAAAAAAAACAUGUACAAGAAACAACAAACUACAAGUUCACUGAUUACUAACAAUAUUUUAUUUUACAAUUAUUGAAGCCUUCUUUUAAAUAGGGUAACUCCAAUAAGUCAAAAUGAGGACGUUAAUUGAUUUGUAAAAAAAGCGCCGAAAUCAAAAUUUCUCCGUUGAUCCAACUGAUACACCACAUUGGAAUUUGUAAAACAUGCGUAUUGCGCAGAAGAGAAAAUACCUUCGAAAUUCAACACUAUGAACAAAAAGAAUAUGUCCGCAAUCAACUAAAUGGUAAAAUAAACGAUGUCAUUUAGAAUAACAAAAGAUUGUAACGAAUACUCAAACUUCGAUAUCAAGCGUUCAGGGCGUUUAAGUUUUCUUAUUAGAAAAAUGUUAAUUUAUCUUAACGGAAUAACAAUAACCGUUGUGCCAAUCUAUCAGUUAAGCUUUUUGAAUUGCGUCAGUGGAGCCUCGCGGCGAUACAAAGGAAAUUUUUCGCCCGCCAUGUUGGCGUUGGUCUGAUAGGAGGGCGGACUUACCAUAAUGUAAUCACAAAAUUCUGCAACGUAGGUGAGCCAUCCACGAAAAUAAUUGUUACACCCGUGAUCGACGAGCAUUAAAUUGUAAUUAGGUACCUCACGUAAUGUAUAGUGCAUGAGCUAUAUCUAAUAUUUUACAGAACAUUUUCUCUCGACUCGCUCAAGGACGCACACACUUCUAAACAUGGCGACGGCUCCCGACAAAUUUCGACCGCGACCAGACCGAGAGCUGCUUGCUGCUUCACGUUUACACAAGCCACAGAGAGAUGUCGCUCCAACUAAAUGCUGAAUCUGCGAUUGGUUGGAAGCAACCGGAUACUUGGCAACGUGGCAGUGUGAAAUGUUCCUGAUUGGUUACUGGUAAAAAUAUUAAAAGGACUCCUUUUCCGACUAACAGAUCAAAUCAGCAACUAUUAUUUUUGGAUGUAAAAUGUACAUUCUAUGAAACUUACUGUGUUGGAAAUUAUUGUAUCUAUUAAAAUUACUAAUAAAUAAUACAGUUUAA